CCAGAGUGUCUCAUACCUGCCCACUGUCCCAGACUGGGCAGUGCCCAGGAGUGUCCCACAGACUCCUGCCUGCUUGUUCUCUGGAUCCUCCAUGAUUCCCGCGGCAGCUGGUUUGCAGCGAGCUCCAGGGGGCUCCAGUGCACGGCAUGGGUGCUGGGAAGGGUCGGACAGGAGGUAAGGCAGGUACACGUGCUCCUACCUGAGACUCGAGGAAGCUGAGCCCUGGCCUGGCUCAGCUGAGGGCCCCCGUGCACAGAGCCAGACGCCAGGGAACGCCAAGCCGUCAGGUGCUGCCACCUGUUGGAUCCACCAGCUGUCCAAGGAGGGUGUGCCCAGAGGCCAGUGGAAAGGCUCGGAAACCCACGGUGCGCUUGCCUCCGCCGGCACAGUGGGUCUGCCCUGGAUUGCUCCGUGGUGACCCGCAGCUCGUGGCCACUGCAUCUGGGAGUGGCUACACCCCACAGGGCUCCAUAUGGAAGCCUCUGGGAGGGGGGUCCUGACCUGUGGCCGUGGGUGUGCGUGUGCUGGGCUGGAAGCGGCAGAUAUGGUAAUAAUAGUUUCCAGGAAGUGUGGGUCUGUCUUGGGUCUGAGAUUUUGGACCAAAGAGCUUUUUAGAGGAUUUGGAGCUAAGAACCCCCAGACUCUAAGGCCCCUGUGAUCAGGUCCCCCUGCCCAUCCCCAGCCCUGGGGUGACGCGUCACAUUCCUAUUCGGAGGCACACCCCAUUGAGUCCUUUGGGUUUAUCUGGGCCUCGUUCAUUCAUCCACUAGUUUAUUUGUUCAGAAAUGCUCACAGGAUGCUUACUGUGUCCCAGUACUGUGGAGCUUCUGAUGACAGGAACAGAGCUGAAGUCUCUAACCCCGUCAAGCCUCUUUCAAAACUUCCCGGUCUCAGCUCGGAAAGAUCCAGCUCCGAGGUUAGCAGAAAGUUGUGCUGGCGCUGUAUCAGUUGUCACCUUUCACACGGGUUGCUUGUGUCUGCCCCUGAAGACAGAGAAGAUGCAUCUUUGAUGUCCCGACAGAUUAUCUCCAAUCACUUUACAAAUAUUAUCUCAUUAAUCCUUUGCAAUAGUUUCAUGAAUUUCUCUAUUUAAUGGAUUAAAAAACCACAACCUUCAGCAAUUAAGUGACAAGCUGAACAUCGCACACUCCACUCGUCUACCAGGGAAAAGGAGGCUUCACCUGCUAUACCCACCUGGAGAGGGUGUGUUCUCAUUAAGUCAGAACCGAAGAAGUUACCCUCAUGGAGCAAGACGGCGCCCAAGGACAUCAGACGGCGCCCACGGACAUCAGACGGCGCCCAAGGACAUCAGACAGCGCCCAAGGACAUCAGACAGUGCCCAAGGACAUCAGACGGUGCCCAAUAGCAUCAGAAUCAAUUUCCGGACUCUUUUGGAGACAGCGUUCUUGGGCGGUUUGGGCCUCGUUUCCCGGGGGUCUGGGUGCAUUCUGUUCAUUGUCGCUAUCCUUUGGGACCCUCUUGUCAGGGGGCUUUGAGGGACGAAGCCCUGCUGCUCUCUCUAGUCACUGUCAUGUCAGCCCAUAGCAGGCACACGUCAAGUAUUUCUUUAUACAUGAAAAAUAUUUGGGG